rnacentral:rRNA from 1 species
AGUGAACGCUGGCGGUAGGCCUAACACAUGCAAGUCGAACGGCAGCACAGAGGAGCUUGCUCCUUGGGUGGCGAGUGGCGGACGGGUGAGGAAUACAUCGGAAUCUACUCUGUCGUGGGGGAUAACGUAGGGAAACUUACGCUAAUACCGCAUACGACCUACGGGUGAAAGCAGGGGACCUUCGGGCCUUGCGCGAUUGAAUGAGCCGAUGUCGGAUUAGCUAGUUGGCGGGGUAAAGGCCCACCAAGGCGACGAUCCGUAGCUGGUCUGAGAGGAUGAUCAGCCACACUGGAACUGAGACACGGUCCAGACUCCUACGGGAGGCAGCAGUGGGGAAUAUUGGACAAUGGGCGCAAGCCUGCUCCAGCCAUACCGCGUGGGUGACGAAGGCCUUCGGGUUGUAAAGCCCUUUUGUUGGGAAAGAAAUCCAGCUGGCUAAUACCCGGUUGGGAUGACGGUACCCAAAGAAUAAGCACCGGCUAACUUCGUGCCAGCCGCCGCGGUAA